UUUCCCAGAAGAGUUAGCCGGAAGGAGAGGGGGAAACCCCCCCCCCCAAUAGUUGGUUCAAGUACAGAAAGCUAUUUGUGGAAGUGGCAGUCAUUGACGGAGACACGCAAGGACGUCGCUGCUGAAAUGGACAGAUUCUUUUUAUAUUUUAUGUCAGUGCAACUUGUUGGCGUGGUUUGCUGCUCAGAAAAGCAAGAUGGAAGAUAUGGCCAAGGGAACUUCCAAGAGAGGGAGCUGAGCAGGUCCAAGCGGAGUGGGAGGUGGCAUCAGCCCUGCCCUUGUCCAGAUUUAGAAGAACUCCAAAAUCCAAAGAAACACAAUUCUGCCUGUCCCUGUGAUGGAUUCAACUUAAGGAGUUUGUCAG